UUGCAGUUAAUUGAGCUCGAUCGAGAAGUGUGACGAAGAAGGCCGUUAAUAAUAAUUAUUCAACUACUUAAAGAAUACGGGAUAGAUAUGGACAACGACUUCGAAGACAUUUGCAGUAGGCUAAACAGAGAAAGAGAGGGAGACCCAAAACUACCUGUCCUGGCAUCACAUUUGAGGAGGAGAUGAAGUCGGUGAAUAUGACCUAGCCCGGGGGAGUUUCCAGAAGACGGUCCAGAACCACUGGCCGCCAGGAGUGGAGGUCCUUUGUUGUUGCUCUACAUGUCAGGAGGCAUCGGGCAGUACAUGUAGGUAAGACAAUCCCUGGUAGAAGCACCAUCUUGAUACCAUCAUUCAAACUCUCAUCAGCUGUAUCAUUAUAGGUGGACUAAAAGAACAAUAUUCAUUCAGAUAUAAUGAUGCCUUAAGUUGAAAUGGAAGGUGUCCUGAAUCUGCACCCAUUCAUCUGGUUUCGUAACUCCUUUCAUAGUGCUAUUGGAACCUGCUCCCUACCAGUAUAACAUCAAACAGAUUGGAAGAAUAAAGGCCAAUUGGAAGUGCCUUUUACAUUUCUACUUGCCACAAAGCAGUCCAUGGUUUAGCGCAAUCUACACUGGACUAUUGUAAUGCUCUUCGUGCUUGAAUUAGGGCGAUCUGGACUGACUGCAGAUAGUACAGAAUGCUGCAUCUAUUGUGCCAUUUGCCAUACGCCAACUUCGCUGGCUGCAAGUCAAGGAAAGGAUAUACAUGAACAUCAGUGUCCGUCUCCUGAUUUUCAAAGUCAAUGACAGAUUACAUGUAUUCUAAGGAAUCCCUUGUGCGUCAUUUUCAUUCUAGGCGCACUUGCCUUUUUAUUUUUGUGAUCAUUACGCACCUACAAAUUAGCUACUGGUGAUGCAACUUUCUCCACUACUGCUCCAAGGCCAUGGAAUUAGCUCCUUCCUCUCCUCCAGUUGUCAACAACCUCAAGUGGAUCAGUCCAAAUACAAUUUGAGAAGACCUACCAUAUUCCUGAUCUUUGCUCUGUACUUCCAACAAUACUGUCACUGCCUGGUAAUUUGAUUUUUUUUAAAUCUCAUGGAUGGCAUCUCAAAGCGCUUUGUAUCUCGCAAAAUAAUGUGUUGUGUAAAAGCGAACACGCAUUGAGGUCAAGCAUAAGGGUAACCAUGGAUAUUGCCUUUUAUUACUUUUUAACAAAAGUGAAAAAUUCAUCCAAAUUAGACAAGGGAUAAUAAAGUAAUGUAUGACAUUCUAACCUCUGCAUUAUUUUGGUGAAAGAGCUCUAAGCAUAUGCAAGUAGCAAGCUGAUGAUGUCAUACUGACGUACAUUGUACGUGUACACGUAUCCCCAACUUAUUUUUUUGUAUAUAAAAUUGUGCAUUUAAUUUUGUUUACAAAGAAUGAAACAAAUCGGAUUGUAAACUGUAUUGAUGUGACUUACCUGUAUUGAUUAUUGCUGGAAGUUCUUUUGCUACAUGGGUUACACACAUGAAGUAAAUUAUUAUUUUAUCUGGUAACAUGAAAACAAUAAAAAUGUGGGCAUGAUAUCAUAAACUUACAUGUAUCUACUUGCAUGUGUUGAUGACCAAUAUUUUUGUAAAUAUUUUAUUAAUUUUAUCUGAUUUUGAUAAAAUUUUCACUAUUUUGCAUGGUAAAAAUUACUUUAUUUUAGAUUAUGUUGAGCCCGUAUCAUAUACAAGUACACCUUUAAAGAUAAAUUACCAGUUGAAGUAACAAUCUUAAAAUGAGUUCGAACAGAAUCCAAUAGAAUUACCAGCAAAAUAUAAAAGAUAUGUGCCAGAAUUAUAGCUCGGGAAGAAAAUGUGUAAUUGCUGAGAAAUGAGCAAAAUAAGCAUGUAAUUCUAUCAAAUGUCAGGCAUUUUUCAAAUCAAUCAUACAAUGUAAUACACUGUCCUGUCCCACAUAUGCUUUUCUGUGUUAGUGAUCAUCAGAAUAAUUGAUUUUAACUUCAUAAUUAGUGAUUUUACAAAGAUACAAGUUUACAUUAAUGUACCAGCUAGAUCUAGAGAUUAUGUACAAUAUUUUGACAAUUUCUCAUGAAAUAAUUGUUUGCUGCAACUGCUGUCUUUUUAAUACCUCUAAAUGAUAGUGUAAUACAACCACAAACUUUUCUUAAGAAUUAAUGUACAUGUAUGAUUCUUUCACCCAAAUUUACAUGCAUUGAUACUGUAGACUACUUGCCAAAAGUUCCUGCCAAAAGCCUUUUUUUAACGAUGUACAUGCUUUUAUAGACGACCUGCCAAUAUAUUCAAGGACCAACCAAAAAGAGAUGAAUAAAAUGUUUGAAGGAAAUUGAAAUUAACUUUUAAAAUGAUAGCUGUCAAUGCAGUAUUAUUACAGGGUUCCCACAGUCAUGGAAAAUCCUGGAAAAAAUUGGUCAUGGAAAGUCAGGGAUAUGUGAAAAGUCACGGAAUUGCAUUUACCUCUUGGCUAUGACAGCUUUCUAGUUUUUUAUGUCUCGCAACUCUCAUACUCUGUGAUUGCACUCUACUAUUAUAAUUGGUGUUCAUGAUCAUAACAUGUCUGAUUUUGUAAACUGUGCCAGAAAGGAAUUAAGUCAUGGAAAGCAGCAAUUUAGUCAUGGAGAGGUCAUGGAAUUCUGUCUUCAAAUUUCUGUGAGAACCCUGAAUAGGUUUGUGCACUUGACACAGUGUGCACUACAGAUGAACUUUGUAAUGCCAUGAUAUAAACCAGUACAAUAUCUUAAAGGAAAAUAAAACCCAAAAUAUAAUACCACAUGAUACCAUUGAUAAAUACAGGACAAUGAAAAUGAAUCCACUCAUAUACCCCUAAUCCGAUUUCCCAGUAUGGAGUACCACCUUUUCAAAGUUGGCAUCUUCUGGUUCGAAGUCUAUGGAUGGAGAUUAUUCCGUCAGCGACAAACUACAUCUCUAAACGUUUGAGCAUUAUAUAUUCUAUUUCAUUGAUAAUAAAUCAAAUGUAGAGAUAAAACUCAUAAAAUAUUAAUUAAAAUUUGUUUAAUAUUAUAUGAUAGGUUCGAAUUACGACUUGAUGAGUUUUAAUGAUAAAAAUUACACCCUAAUCUACGAUUUACAAAUUGGCAGCGGAAAUUGGGGUGUAAACCUUAUCAUUAAAACUCAUCAAAUUGUAUUUUGAACCUACCAUAUAUUAAACAAAUUUUAACUAAUAUUUUUAUGAGUUUUAUCUGUACAUUUGAUUUGUUAUUGAUAAAAUAGAAUAUAUAAUGCCUAAACGUUUAGAGAUGUAGUUCGUCGCUGAUGUAAUAAUUUUCUAACUAACCCCGCGAAAAUGGCGACCUCCAUCCAGAAACUUCAAACCACACUGUAAGAGGCCAACUUUGAAAAGGUGGUACUCUGUAAUUGGAUUAGGGUAUGAGUGGAUUCAUUUUGAUUGUCCUGUAUUUAUCAAUGGGAUCAUGUGGUAUUAUGUUUUUGGUGUUAUUUUCCUUUAAUUCAGAUAUUACAUGCCAGGGUAUUGUCCUAGUUUUCAUUUUUGGUGCGUAAAUUGAUCAAAUUAUUCGUUCCUUUGAACACUAUUCUAAACUGAGUGGACUCCAAAUACAUAUUAUCAUCUCUCGUCUAUUUCUACUUGCCCUUCGGCCUUGAAGUAAACUUGGGAUAAUUAUGCAUUUUGUUAUACGCAAUUUUGAGUACAGUGCACUUUGACGCAGCUACUUAUAUGAUAUUAACUAUUGUAGACACAUCCUUAUGUUUUGUUCAUUUUCUUAAAAACGAUUAAGAGUUUAAUCAUUUUUGUCUUUAAGCAUAAAACAAAGAGUAAUCAGUCCAUUCUGUAUGUGUAACCUGCAAAAAAAAACUACAAUGGUCGUUAAUUUGGUUUGCUGAAAAGCCUGAUAGCCUUUGAGGUAACUUUUUUAAGUAUUUAGAAGAAAUGUAUUUUUUUUAAGUAUUUAUAUGCACUGUAAUUUCUUUGAUAGUUACUGUUAUGUUACACUGUUUGUACAGUAAAGCAGCUGUUAUACAUUUUUUGUCAAUAGCAAAUGUAAACCAGUAUUGUAAAUUGAUGAAUCUAUGAGCUAAAUACCAGUACUUUCUAUAUCACUUGUAAAAUCAUUUGUUAUUUGUUCAUUGAAGGUGUUGUAUUUUCUUAAUCUUAUAAAAGUCCAUAGGGUCAUGAACACAUUCUA